UACAGAGGUCCCAAGCGUUGUUCGGAUUCACUGGGCGUAAAGGGUGCGUAGGUGGUCAGGUAAGUCUGAUGUGAAAGCUCUGGGCUCAACCCAGAAAUGGCAUUGGAUACUAUCUGGCUAGAGGAAUGGAGGGGGGACUGGAAUACUUGGUGUAGCAGUGAAAUGCGUAGAUAUCAAGUGGAACACCAGUGGCGAAGGCGAGUCCCUGGACAUUUCCUGACACUGAGGCACGAAAGCUAGGGGAGCAAACGGG
rnacentral:rRNA from 1 species